rnacentral:rRNA from 1 species
AUGGGGAGGCAGCCGUGCUGCGACAAGGUGGGGCUGAAGAAGGGGCCGUGGACGGCGGAGGAGGACCAGAAGCUCGUCGGCUUCCUCCUCACCCACGGCCACUACUGCUGGCGCGUCGUCCCCAAGCUCGCAGGGCUGCUGAGGUGCGGGAAGAGCUGCAGGCUGAGGUGGACCAACUACCUGAGGCCCGACCUCAAGCGGGGGCUCCUCUCCGACGAGGAGCAGCAGCUCGUCAUCGACCUGCACGCGCAGCUCGGCAACAGGUGCGUGUCUAGUGUAGCUCGAGUUUUAAUUUGGAGUCUCGGUCUCCUGCGGUGGCCGGCGGCGCUCAUGGACCAUGCCCGUGGUGAUGCGCGCAGGUGGUCCAAGAUCGCGGCGCAGCUGCCCGGGAGGACGGACAACGAGAUCAAGAACCACUGGAACACCCACAUCAAGAAGAAGCUCCGCAAGAUGGGCAUCGACCCCGUCACCCACCGCCCGCUGGAUCAAGUGCCCCCUCGUCCCGCGCAACAGCCGCCGCCGCCGCCGCCGACCACCACCGCGUGGCAGCAGCAGGACGGCGCCGAGCACUGCCAGCAAGUGGAGGAUGAGGACGUGAAGGCGGUCCCGCUGAUCCAGCCGCACGAGGUCACGGCGCCACCGCCCACCGCAAGCAGCAAUUGCUCUGUUUCCCCUGCCUCGGUCGUCUCGCCGUCCUGCUCCUCGUCCGCGGCGUCCGGUCUGGAGGCGGCGGAGUGGCCGGAGCCCAUGUACCUCCUCGGCAUGGAUGGCAUCAUGGACGUUGGCUCGGGCUGGGACGCCGGCUUCGUCGUCCCCGGCGGCCUCAGCGUCGACCCGUUCGACCACUACUACCCGGACCCUGCAGGCUUCGAUCAAGAAGCCUGGCUGUAA